GGGAGAGACACUCUGCGUGUUACUGACAGGGAGAGACACUCUGCGUGUUACUGACAGGGAGAGACACUCUGCGCGUUACUGACAGGGAGAGACACUCUGUGUUACUGACAGGGAGAGACACUCUGUGUGUUACCGACAGGGAGAGACACUCUGCGUGUUACUGACAGGGAGAGACACUCUGCGCGUUACUGACAGGGAGAGACACUCUGCGUGUUACUGACAGGGAGAGACACUCUGCGUGUUACUGACAGG